UACGUAGGGUGCAAGCGUUGUCCGGAAUUAUUGGGCGUAAAGAGCUCGUAGGCGGUUUGUUGCGUCGGCUGUGAAAUCCCGAGGCUCAACCUCGGGUCUGCAGUCGAUACGAGCAAACUAGAGUGUUGCAGGGGAGACUGGAAUUCCUGGUGUAGCGGUGAAAUGCGCAGACUAUCAAGUGGAACACCAGUGGCGAAGGCGAGUCCCUGGACAACUCCUGACACUGAGGCACGAAAGCUAGGGGAGCAAACAGG
rnacentral:rRNA from 1 species